rnacentral:lncRNA from 1 species
AUGAAACUUAAUAUGGUUGUUUCUUAUGAUGGUCAAAUGAUCUGUAUACUUUUUGGUGAAAGUAAGAUUUAAACUUUUUGAGUUACGGCACUUUGUAACUAAAACAGGGGUGUGUUUUUUUUCACAUGUCGCACCGUAUCUCAAAAACGUUUCUCGAUUAUUGCUUAAAACUUUACACACCUUUUAGUUAUAUUAAUCUUAAUAUCUGUAUACUUUUUGGUGAUGAUUCAAAAUUUCAUUUUUGAGUUUUUGAGUAUUUUGUAAAAAAGGGGGAGGGUUUUUUUACAUGUCGCGCCGUAUCUAAAAAACGAUUUAUAAUUAUUGUUUAAAACUUUACACACUUUUUUGUUAUAUUAAUCUAAAGAUCUGUAUACUUUUUGGUGAUGAUUCAAAAUUUCAUUUUUGAGUUAUUGAGUAUUUUGUAAAAAGGGGG